rnacentral:rRNA from 1 species
ACGGAAGGCAGUAGUGGGGAAUAUUGCACAAUGGGGGAAACCCUGAUGCAGCAACGCCGCGUGAGUGAUGAAGUAUUUCGGUAUGUAAAGCUCUAUCAGCAGGGAAGAUAAUGACGGUACCUGACUAAGAAGCACCGGCUAAAUACGUGCCAGCAGCCGCGGUAAUACGUAUGGUGCAAGCGUUAUCCGGAUGUACUGGGUGUAAAGGGUGCGUAGGCGGCAUGGCAAGUCAGAUGUGAAAGACCGGGGCUCAACUCCGGGGCAGCAUUUGAAACUGCUAGGCUGGAGUACAGGAGAGGCAGGCGGAAUUCCUAGUGUAGCGGUGAAAUGCGUAGAUAUUAGGAGGAACACCAGUGGCGAAGGCGGACUGCUGGACGGUUACUGACGCUGAGGCACGAAAGCGUGGGGAGCAAACAGGAUUAGAUACCCUGGUA